rnacentral:lncRNA from 1 species
ACAGCUCUGCGCUCCGACGCUGGAUCCGAGCGAGGGUUGGUGCGCUAGCCCUCAAGCAGCUGCGCGGGCUCUGGGCCUCAUCUGCUCUCGGUCUUCUGGGCCCCCAGCCGAGCCGGCGUGUUCGCCAGAGACACGCUCCACGUCUGCUGAGGGUCCGCCUGGCUGCUCACCUCUACUUAGUCUCCCUUCCCGAGGAGCCUGGCUUUGGAGCGUGCGCACUGAGUCCACUCCUUCCCGGUCCUGCAAGACCCCCAGUCCCCCGGGCGGCCUCCUUCCAGCCUCGGACCCUGCCAUUUCAUCCUACACGCUGACAGUUUUGUCUCCGGAAAAGUGCGCUUUUCACCCUUUUUCUUUCUUCAUCCUAAGCCCACCGUCGGCUGCAUUUCCUUCCCUGUGAACUCUGACCGCCGCUGCUGGCCUCCGAUGCCCGCUCUUAGCUUUCUGUUAUGUGGACAGACCGACCUGUGACCGACCUAAGAUUCCGUGAUACUUGACCCCAAAUAUUUCAGCAAGCAUCUCCUAAGAGGAAGGACAGUUUGCUACCUGAACAUAACACCUUAUUACACCUAAGAAUUUAACAAUAACUACCUAAGUUCAGCUCAUAUUCAGAUUUUCCCAAAUGUCCCAAUGUGUGGAGUUUUUUGUUUUGUUUUUGUUUUCGGCUGCCCCUCAGCAUGUGGAGUUCCCAGGCCAGAGAUCAGAUCCGAGCCACAGUAGUGACCUAAGCCGCAGCUGCAGUUACAUGAAAUCCUUAACCCACCGUCCCAGGCCAGGAAUGGAACUUGCAUCUUGUGCUCCCAAGACGCUGCUGAUCCCGUUGUGCCACAGCGGGAACUCCUGACCCAACUAUUUUUAUAGUUGCUUUUCAUAAACCAGGGUUCACUUAAGUUUUACAUACUGCAGGAGGUUAUGUUAGGUCUCUUUAAAUAUAGGACAUUUCCCUCACCAUUUUUGUUUUUUGAAAGGGCGUUGAAUACUUCAUAUUUUCUGUUUGUCUGGCGGUUUCCUCCUGAUGUCUCUUUGUGUGAUUUUUUUUCUAUUUCCUGUACUUCCUGUAGGAUGGAAAUGAGGUUGAAUGGCUGGGUUUGAUUCAGGUUAAACAGUUUGGCAAGAGUCUAUUUUGUGUGACAUCACAUCAGGAGGCCAUGAGGUCAGGUUGUUUAUUAUUUGUUCAUUUUGGGCAGCUUUGUUGAGAUAGAGUCACAUACCAUAUGAUCAAAGUGUACAGGCUGUGUUGAGAGUCACAGGUGUGUAACCACCCCCACGGUCUGUCUCACUAUAAUCCACCCUGAGUCCAAACACUUGGUUGCCGUGGUGACCAGCAGAGUGACGUAAUUGCAUGAACUUUUAUUGGAUUCUUUAGCCAACCCCAGCCUGAGGCCCCACACUCAGAAAAACCCUGGUUGGAGAGCUUGAGUGUGUCCACGAGAUCUAUGACAGGUUCCAGUGGGGUGGGGAGGGCGACAGAAGUCAGAUCCCAAGGAGGCUGUUGGGAAGUGGGGGUCCCACAGCCAGACUUGAUUAUGAUGCUGGGGCGAUGGCUGGAAGCGGACAGUGACCAGAGGCUAAAGCCGUUUCCUGCUCCCAGCCCCUGUAUUUUGGGCUCUCUGCCCGAUGUGUUCCUCUCCUAGGCCCUCGGACCUCAGUUCUGGUUUGCAUAGCGCAGCUUUACCAGUGAGCUCAGGAAACCUGCGGCUGGGGUGAGUGGGGGCGGGAGGAAACCAUAUUUGCUGAGUGCAGCCCUGACACCCGGCCCUGGCAGGGCUCCACCCGGUUAUCUUGUUCAGGCCUCACAACCUCCUGUGAGGUGGGGAUUUUAUGGACUCUUUUAUAGACUCUGAGGAGAUUAGAUAAUUUACCCAAGGCCACAGAGAGCUGCAGUUUUGUGUGCAUGAGAAUUAAGUAUAAAUAAUCAGCUUUUUUUUUCUAAUGAUUUAGUUGAUUUACGCUAUUAUAUUAGUUGCAGGUGUACAACAUAGUGAUUCAAUAUUUUAACAGAUUGUACUCCAUUUGAAGUUAUUACAACAUAAAGGCUCCACCCCCCUUGCGGUACGUAUAUCCUUGUAGCUUAUCUGCUUUAUGCACAGUAGUCGGUGCCUCUUAACCCCCCACCCCCUCCUGCACCUCCCUUUCUUCUCCCCGCCGGUGACCACUGGCUUGUACGUCUGUGAGGCUGGUUCUGUUGUGACUGGACCAAACUUGGGUCUACUUUAUUGUCCACAAUAAACCAAUCUACUGACACCGGAUUGUGGGGAAGGAAAGUACGGUGUUUAUUACAAGGCGCCCAGUGUGGGGCUGAGGUAAAGUUUAUAUUUUCAGGCAGGACAAGCAAAGUUAAACACAAAAUCCUCUCUCUGCGUGUGUUUGGGCCUGCUCCCUUCCUGAUGGGUGGCGUGUGCGUCUGCAUCACACAUUAACCAGAGCCCCUCAAAAUGGGGGCCUACUUAGCCAUAAAGAUCUUGUUUUUUUCUUUCUCUGAUGACGACACUAGCAGUGUAAUGUCUUAAAAGAAUAGCGUCCUUUCCCAGCUCUGUAGGGGGUCAUGGUGACUUGCUUGUCACUUUGUGUGUGUGCUUCCCUGGACUCGGUAUCCUUGGUGACCUUUAUGUAAAAUAUCAGCUUGUCAUUUUGAUGUAUGAUCCUUUUGUCUCAAAAACGUAUAUGACUCCUAACAGGCGGAACAGCUCUCAUAGCUUUCAGAGAAUCUGCUUUCCAGGUUAUAAUCCUCAGUUUGGCUCGAGUAAAUUUCCUUCUUUUCUUCUUC